rnacentral:rRNA from 1 species
AUUGAACGCUGGCGGCAGGCCUAACACAUGCGAGUCGAACGGUAACAGGAAGCAGCUUGCUGCUUUGCUGACGAGUGGCGGACGGGUGAGUAAUGUCUGGGAAACUGCCCGAUGGAGGGGGAUAACUACUGGAAACGGUAGCUACUACCGCAUAACGUCGCAAGACCAAAGAGGGGGACCUUAGGGCCUCUUGCCAUCGGAUGUGCCCAGAUGGGAUUAGCUAGUAGGUGGGGUAACGGCUCACCUAGGCGACGAUCCCUAGCUGGUCUGAGAGGAUGACCAGCCACACUGGAACUGAGACACGGUCCAGACUCCUACGGGAGGCAGCAGUGGGGAAUAUUGCACAAUGGGCGCAAGCCUGAUGCAGCCAUGCCGCGUGUAUGAAGAAGGCCUUCGGGUUGUAAAGUACUUUCAGCGGGGAGGAAGGGAGUAAAGUUAAUACCUUUGCUCAUUGACGUUACCCGCAGAAGAAGCACCGGCUAACUCCGUG